UCCGGUUUGGCACCGGCAGUCUCCUCAGAGUUCCCGGCAUGACCCGCUGGCGACUGAGGACAAGGGUUGCGCUCGUUGCGCCACUUAAGGCAACACCUCACGGCACGAGCUGACGACAGCCAUGCACCACCUGUGCAGGCUCCGUAGAGCUCCGGCUUUCACCGGCUUCACCCUGCAUGUCAAGCCCAGGUAAGGUUCUUCGCGUCAUGGAAGCAAGCU
rnacentral:misc_RNA from 1 species